AACAUAACUCCUUGAUGGUUAGAUCAACAUCAACUCAACUGAAGCAAGCAAGCAACCGAUAUCAAACCCAUUCACAAAUUCCACAAUGCCUUCUUCCAAAUUCACAUCUCAAUCAAAUCUCUCCAAAUGCACCAACCCACCACAACUCCCCGUCGAUCCCGCCGCCGACGGUCAACUGAAUCGCUGGCCACCAACAGCAGCAACAGUUGACAGAUUAAUACUUCAAUUAAAAGCAAAAGACCCCGACACAGAAGCCAAUUGGGAGAAAAUUAUUCUCAAUUUCAAAAAGGAGCUUGCUGCAGAGGAGGAGAAGGAGAAAUUGAAGCCGGCGUUGACUUCUGAUGUGGUCAAUAGUAGCAGCUGUGGCGGUGGUGGUGGAAUUGAGGAGAGAGAUGGGGUUAGGGUUAGGGCAAAGUUUUCGGUUCCGCUUUCACGGAGGGAGAUGGAGAAGGAUUUUGAGGAUAUGGGAGAACGGAGGUUGCCCAGAAAGCCCAAGAAGCGGCCCAAAUCUCUUCAGAAUCAGUUGGAUACUCUAUUUCCUGGCUUGUGGUUAACUGAGAUAAACGCUGAUCUUUAUAGAGUUUCCGAUACAAAAAAGAGGUAGUGAUGGGAAACCAAGUGAUUGAAGUUUAAAGGAUUCUUUCUCUCUAAUCGUUGACGAUUGCGAAAAUAAACUGAUAUGUUCAGCACAUUAGCUCAAUUGGGUAAACAUCAUAUAAGUUCUUCUUUCUGGUUUAUACGUGCAAGAAUUGCCAAUAUUGGUGGUCCCCGCUACAUGUAUAGUGGUUUUCGGGAGGGCAAAGGGCAAAAUGGUGAAACAAAACUUCGUUUAUUUACACUAGGUUUUGAGUCAUAUAUGAAUUAUAGCAGUUAGUGAUGAAGAUUCGGUCCUAGAAUUUUGUUCAUUCGUGGUUUAAUAUAUUCUCCAAAUCUUUGCUGUUUUUCCGAUAGGAAUUUACUGAUUUUAUAAUUUGCAGAUGUUAGUAUUACUAUAAUGAAUCGUUCAACUUGUUCAGGCAAUCCAAAUUGUCAAAAUGUUUUGAAGAAGAUGCUAGUUAAUGCGAUUGGAUACGUUACAAGGACCUAGACACCUAGUACUAUGAUAUGUAUCAAUUUAGCGAGUUGUGUUAGUUGGUAUGGUGGUUGUAUAAGUCGAUUUUAAGUCAAAUAAGCACAUAUCUAGUACUUGUUUAGCUAUAUACAGUGAAAUUAUAUACAUGCUAUGAUGUGAGUUUUGUGUC